rfam:Drosophila virilis strain TSC#15010-1051.87 Ctg01_9636, whole genome shotgun sequence.
AUUCUGGUUGAUCCUGCCAGUAGUUAUAUGCUUGUCUCAAAUAUUAAGCCAUGCAUGUCUAAGUACACACGAAUUAACAGUGAAACCGCAAAAGGCUCAUUAUAUCAGUUAUGGUUCCUUAGAUCGUUAACAGUUACUUGGAUAACUGUGGUAAUUCUAGAGCUAAUACAUGCAAUUAAAACACGGACCUUUUGGAACGUGUGCUUUUAUUAGGCUAAAACCAAGCGAUCGCAAGAUCGUUUUAUUGGUUGAACUCUAGAUAACAUGCAGAUCGUAUGGUCUUGUACCGACGACAGAUCUUUCAAAUGUCUGCCCUAUCAACUUUUGAUGGUAGUAUCUAGGACUACCAUGGUUGCAACGGGUAACGGGGAAUCAUGGUUCGAUUCCUGAGAGGGAGCCUGAUAAACGGCUACUACAUCUAAGGAAGGCAGCAUGCGCGUAAAUUACCCACUCCCAGCUCGGGGAGGUAGUGACCAAAAAUAACAAUACAGGACUCAUAUCCGAGGCCCUGUAAUUGGAAUGAGUACACUUUAAAUCCUUUAACAAGGACCUAUUGGAGGGAAAGUCUGGUGCCAGCACCCGCGGUAAUUCCAGCUCCAAUAACGUAUAUUAAAGUUGUUGCGGUUAAAACGUUCGUAGUUGAACUAGUGCUUCAUACGGGUAUUACAACUUACAAUUGUAGUUAGUACUAUACCUUUAUGUAUGUAAGCGUAUUACCGGUGGAGUUCUUAUAUUUAAUUAAAUACUUGUAUUUUUUUAUAUAUUCCUCCUAUUUGAAAACCUGCAUUAGUGCUCUUCAUCGAGUGUUAUUGUGGGCCGGUACAAUUACUUUGAACAAAUUAGAGUGCUUAAAGCAGGCUUCAAAUGCCUGAAUAUUCUGUGCAUGGGAUAAUGAAAUAAGACCUCUGUUCUGCUUUCAUUGGUUUUCAGAUCAAGAGGUAAUGAUUAAUAGAAGCAGUUUGGGGGCAUUAGUAUUACGACGCGAGAGGUGAAAUUCUUGGACCGUCUUAACACUAACUUAAGCGAAAGCAUUUUGCCAAAUAUGUUCUCUUUAUUCAAGAACAAAAGUUAAACGUUCAAAUGCGAUCAGAUACCGCCCUAGUUCUAACCAUAAACAAUGCCGCCUAUCAAUUGCGUGUACCUACUUUUAUGGCUCUCUCAAUCACUUCCCGGGAAACCAAAACUUUUGGGCUCCUGGGGAAGUAAGGUUGCAAAGCUGAAACUUCAAGG